UCCGGUUGAUCCUGCCGGAGGACACUGCUAUUGGAGUCUGAUUAAGCCAUGUGAGUCAGAGCGUCUUGAACGCUCGGCAGACUGCUCAGUAACACGUAGGUAACCUGCCCUGAAGAGAAGGAUAACCUUGGGAAACUGAGGCUAAACUUUCAUAAGGUAAAAGUACUGGAACGUCUUUUACCCGAAACGCUACGGCACUUUAGGAUGGGCCUGCGGUGGAUUAGGUAGUCGGUGAGAUAAAGGCUCACCGAGCCGAUAAUCCGUACGGGAUGUGAGAGCAUCAGCCCGGAGUAGGGGACUGAGACACGGCCCCUAGUUCUACGGAAUGCAGCAGGCGCGAAACCUUUACAAUGUACGAAAGUGCGAUAAGGAGACUCCAAGUGACCACGCUGUGGUCUUUUCUGAAGUUUAAGGUGCUUUAGGAAUAAGGGCUGGGCAAGACCCGUGCCAGCCGCCGCGGUAACACGGGCAGCUCGAGUGGUGUCCGCCUAUAUUGGGUCUAAAGCGUUCGUAGCCGGCCUUACAAGUUCUUGGUGAAAGCUCAUAGCUUAACUAUGAGAGUUGCUAAGAAAACUGUAGGGCUAGGGGCCGGGAAAGGUCAGAGGUAUUCCUGGGGUAGGAGUGAAAUCCAAUAAUCCUAGGAGGACCGACGGUGGCGAAAGCUUCUGACUAGAACGGACCCGACGGUGAGGAACAAAGGCUGAGGGAGCAACCCGGAUUAGAUACCCGGUUAGUCUCAGCUGUAAAUGAUGUUGGUUAGGUGGUGCGUGACCCAUGUGGUUACGCACGGCCGCAGGGAAGCCGUUAAACCAACCACCUGGGAAGUACGGUCGCAAGGCUGAAACUUAAAGGAAUUGGCGGGGGAGUACUACAAGGGGUGGAGGCUGCGGUUUAAUUAGAUACAACGCUGGACAACUUACCAGGGAAGACGGCCGGAUGAUGGUCAGUCUGAAGGGCUUACUUAACCAGCCGAGAGGUAGUGCAUGGUCAUCGUCAGCUCGUGCCGCGAGGUGUCCUGUUAAGUCAGGCAACGAGCGAGAUCCACACCCUCAGUUGCUAGUUCUCUUGUUUGAGAGAACGCACUCUAAGGGGACUGCCAGUGAUAAGCUGGAGGAAGGAGUGGGCGACGAUAGAUCCGUAUGCUCCGAAUUUCCUGGGCUACACGCGGCCUACAUUGCGACGGACAGAGGGAUGCUACCCCGAAAGGGGACGCUAAACCCUAAACCGUUGCCCGGUUCGGAUUGAGGACUGGAAUUCGUCCUCAUGAAGCUGAAAUCCCUAGUAAUCGCGUGUC
rnacentral:rRNA from 1 species